CGUCUAUAUACGUAUAGCAUAUCAAUAAGCGGAGGAAAAGAAACUAACAAGGAUUCCCUUAGUAACGGCGAGUGAAGCGGGAAGAGCUCAAAUUUGAAAUCUUCAAGGUUUUACCUUGACGAAUUGUAGUUUAAAGAAGUGUUUUCUGUUGGUGUUUUGGUAAAAGUUCUUUGGAAUAGGACAUCAUAGAGGGUGAGAAUCCCGUAUUUGACCAUUACUUCCAGCGUUGUGAUACACUUUCAAAGAGUCGGAUUGUUUGGGAAUGCAGUCCAAAAUGGGUGGUAAAUUUCAUCUAAAGCUAAAUAUUGGCGAGAGACCGAUAGCGAACAAGUACCGUGAGGGAAAGAUGAAAAGAACUUUGAAAAGAGAGUUAAACAGUACGUGAAAUUGUCAAAAGGGAAGCGUUUGACACCAGUGUUGUUUUUCUCGAAAAUCAAUUAAGAAUGGCUUGAUUUUGUGUUGUAUUGACCUUAUCAGCUUUCUGCACUUUUUUCGAGUCUUUCUUAAUGCACUUUUUCGGUUAACAAGUCAACAUCAAUUUCUUUUGUUGUAAAAGGGUAUGAGGAAGGUGGCUUUCUUUUCGGAGAAAGUGUUUAUAGCCUUGUGCCUCUGCAAUCGGAGAGAUUGAGGUCUGCAGCGUAGAUCCUUCGGGGUUAGAUACAUUUGUGCUAAGUUAUAGCCUUUUCAUAGACAACUUGUUGACUAUGUUUAGUCUUGUAGCUUACUCGCUGACGCUAUUUUACCUACGCUUAGGAUGUUGACUGAUAUGUAGUCGUA
rnacentral:rRNA from 1 species